rnacentral:rRNA from 1 species
GUAGGGAAUAUUGGGCAAUGGACGCAAGUCUGACCCAGCCAUGCCGCGUGCAGGAAUGACGGCCCUAUGGGUUGUAAACUGCUUUUCUGCAAGAAGAACCCCCCGCACGUGUGCGGGGCUGACGGUAUUGCAGGAAUAAGCAUCGGCUAACUCCGUGCCAGCAGCCGCGGUAAUACGGAGGAUGCAAGCGUUAUCCGGAUUCAUUGGGUUUAAAGGGUGCGCAGGCGGAUUAGUAAGUCAGUGGUGAAAGCCUACAGCUUAACUGUAGAACUGCCGUUGAUACUGCUAAUCUUGAGUGUAGUUGAGGUAGGCGGAAUGUGUCAUGUAGCGGUGAAAUGCUUAGAUAUGACACAGAACACCGAUCGUGAAGACAGCUUACCAAGCUACAACUGACGCUCAUGCACGAAAGCGUGGGGAUCAAACAGGAUUAGAAACCCGGGUAGUCC